rnacentral:rRNA from 1 species
UGAGAUGGAUCCGCGUCUGAUUAGCCAGUUGGCGGGGUAACGGCCCACCAAAGCGACGAUCAGUAGCCGACCUGAGAGGGUGACCGGCCACAUUGGGACUGAGACACGGCCCAAACUCCUACGGGAGGCAGCAGUGGGGAAUAUUGCACAAUGGGCGAAAGCCUGAUGCAGCGACGCCGCGUGAGUGAAGAAGUAUCUCGGUAUGUAAAGCUCUAUCAGCAGGGAAGAAAAUGACGGUACCUGACUAAGAAGCCCCGGCUAACUACGUGCCAGCAGCCGCGGUAAUACGUAGGGGGCAAGCGUUAUCCGGAUUUACUGGGUGUAAAGGGAGCGUAGACGGCGACGCAAGUCUGGAGUGAAAGCCCGGGGCCCAACCCCGGGACUGCUUUGGAAACUGUGCUGCUGGAGUGCAGGAGAGGUAAGUGGAAUUCCUAGUGUAGCGGUGAAAUGCGUAGAUAUUAGGAGGAACACCAGUGGCGAAGGCGGCUUACUGGACUGUAACUGACGUUGAGGCUCGAAAGCGUGGGGAGCAAACAGGAUUAGAUACCCUGGU